rnacentral:misc_RNA from 1 species
GAUGAAGAACGCAGCGAAAUGCGAUAAGUAAUGUGAAUUGCAGAAUUCAGUGAAUCAUCGAAUCUUUGAACGCACCUUGCGCCCUUUGGCCAUUCCGAAGGGCAUGCCUGUUUGAGUAUCAUGAACACCUCAACUCUUUAUGGUUUUCCAUGAUGAGCUUGGACUUUGGGGGUUUUGCUGGCCUAUGGUCGGCUCCUCUAAAAUAAAUCAGCUUACCGGUGUUUGGUGGGUAUCAUGGGUGUGAUAACUAUCUACGCUUGUGGUUUUUCCACCAGGUAACCUUCGACAGCGGAGGUUCACUGGAGCGCACAGAUGUCUCUCCUCAGCGAGGACAGCCCUUUGAAUGUUUGAUCUCAAAUCAGGUAGGACUACCCGCUGAACUUAAGCAUAUCAAUAAGCGGAGGA